GAUGAUAAUACGUGUACAUAGAUUAUAAUUGUAAAAAAAACAAAAAUAAAAAAACAACUUUUUU
rnacentral:rRNA from 1 species